rnacentral:rRNA from 1 species
UACGGGGGGAGCAAGCGUUGUUCGGAAUUACUGGGCGUAAAGGGCUCGUAGGUGGUCAACUAAGUCAUACGUGAAAUCCCUCGGCUUAACCGGGGAACUGCGCCUGAUACUGGUUGACUUGAGUUUGGGAGAGGGACGCGGAAUUCCAGGUGUAGCGGUGAAAUGCGUAGAUAUCUGGAGGAACACCGGUGGCGAAGGCGGCGUCCUGGACCAAUACUGACGCUCAUGCACGAAAGCGUGGGGAGCAAACAGG